AACGAACGCUGGCGGCAGGCCUAACACAUGCAAGUCGAACGCCCUAGCAAUAGGGAGUGGCAGACGGGUGAGUAACACGUGGGAACCUUCCCUAUAGUACGGAAUAUACCAGGGAAACUUGGAGCAAUACCGUAUACGCCCGAGAGGGGAAAGAUUUAUCGCUAUAGGAUGGGCCCGCGUAGGAUUAGCUAGUUGGUGAGGUAAUGGCUCACCAAGGCGACGAUCCUUAGCUGGUUUGAGAGAACGACCAGCCACACUGGGACUGAGACACGGCCCAGACUCCUACGGGAGGCAGCAGUGGGGAAUAUUGGACAAUGGGCGAAAGCCUGAUCCAGCCAUGCCGCGUGAGUGAAGAAGGCCUUAGGGUUGUAAAGCUCUUUCAGCGGGAAGAUAAUGACGGUACCCGCAGAAGAAGCCCCGGCUAACUUCGUGCCAGCCGCCGCCGUAA
rnacentral:rRNA from 1 species